rnacentral:rRNA from 1 species
GACGAACGCUGGCGGCGUGCUUAACACAUGCAAGUCGAACGGAAAGGCCCUGCUUUUGUGGGGUGCUCGAGUGGCGAACGGGUGAGUAACACGUGAGUAACCUGCCCUUGACUUUGGGAUAACUUCAGGAAACUGGGGCUAAUACCGGAUAGGAGCUCCUGCUGCAUGGUGGGGGUUGGAAAGUUUCGGCGGUUGGGGAUGGACUCGCGGCUUAUCAGCUUGUUGGUGGGGUAGUGGCUUACCAAGGCUUUGACGGGUAGCCGGCCUGAGAGGGUGACCGGCCACAUUGGGACUGAGAUACGGCCCAGACUCCUACGGGAGGCAGCAGUGGGGAAUAUUGCACAAUGGGCGGAAGCCUGAUGCAGCAACGCCGCGUGCGGGAUGACGGCCUUCGGGUUGUAAACCGCUUUCGCCUGUGACGAAGCGUGAGUGACGGUAAUGGGUAAAGAAGCACCGGCUAACUACGUGCCAGCAGCCGCGGUGAUACGUAGGGUGCGAGCGUUGUCCGGAUUUAUUGGGCGUAAAGGGCUCGUAGGUGGUUGAUCGCGUCGGAAGUGUAAUCUUGGGGCUUAACCCUGAGCGUGCCUUCGAUACGGGUUGACUUGAGGAAGGUAGGGGAGAAUGGAAUUCCUGGUGGAGCGGUGGAAUGCGCAGAUAUCAGGAGGAACACCAGUGGCGAAGGCGGUUCUCUGGGCCUUUCCUGACGCUGAGGAGCGAAAGCGUGGGGAGCGAACAGGCUUAGAUACCCUGGUAGUCCACGCUGUAAACGGUGGGUACUAGGUGUGGGGUCCAUUCCACGGGUUCCGUGCCGUAGCUAACGCUUUAAGUACCCCGCCUGGGGAGUACGGCCGCAAGGCUAAAACUCAAAGGAAUUGACGGGGCCCCGCACAAGCGGCGGAGCAUGCGGAUUAAUUCGAUGCAACGCGUAGAACCUUACCUGGGUUUGACAUGGAUCGGGAGUGCUCAGAGAUGGGUGUGCCUCUUUUGGGGUCGGUUCACAGGUGGUGCAUGCCUGUCGUCAGCUCGUGUCGUGAGAUGUUGGGUUAAGUCCCGCAACGAGCGCAACCCUUGUUCACUGUUGCCAGCACGUUAUGGUGGGGACUCAGUGGAGACCGCCGGGGUCAACUCGGAGGAAGGUGGGGAUGACGUCAAGUCCUCAUGCCCCUUAUGUCCAGGGCUUCACGCAUGCUACAAUGGCUGGUACAGAGAGUGGCGAGCCUGUGAGGGUGAGCGAAUCUCGGAAAGCCGGUCUCAGUUCGGAUUGGGGUCUGCAACUCGACCUCAUGAAGUCGGAGUCGCUAGUAAUCGCAGAUCAGCAACGCUGCGGUGAAUACGUUCCCGGG